rnacentral:misc_RNA from 1 species
GAGAAGAACGUAGCGAAAUGCGAUACUUGGUGUGAAUUGCAGAAUCCCGUGAACCAUCGAGUCUUUGAACGCAAGUUGCGCCCGAAGCCAUUAGGCCGAGGGCACGCCUGCCUGGGCGUCACACGUCGUUGCCCCCCCAUCUACUCCUUCGGGAUUGCGGGGGGCGGAUGAUGGCCUCCCGUGCGCCUCGUCGCGCGGUUGGCAUAAAUGCCAAGUCCUCGGCGACGCACGCCACGACAAUCGGUGGUUGCGAAACCUCGGUUGCCCGUCGUGUGCGGUCGUCGCGCAUCGAGGGCUCGAAAAAAUUGCCGGGCUCCGGCUCGGCUUUCAACGCGACCCCAGGUCAGGCGGGGUUACCCGCUGAAUUUAAGCAUAUCAAUAAGCGGAGGA